GCAUCAAUGGGGUAGUGGUAACCUGGGUCGUUGCCAUCGUCGAAAUACGAAAUUUCGACCCGCCGGGGGUUCAAUUCCCCCUUGAUGCA
rnacentral:tRNA from 1 species